UACGUAGGGUCCGAGCGUUGUCCGGAAUUACUGGGCGUAAAGAGCUCGUAGGUGGUUUGUCGCGUUGUUCGUGAAAACUCACAGCUUAACUGUGGGCGUGCGGGCGAUACGGGCAGACUUGAGUACUGCAGGGGAGACUGGAAUUCCUGGUGUAGCGGUGAAAUGCGCAGAUAUCAGGAGGAACACCGGUGGCGAAGGCGGGUCUCUGGGUAGUAACUGACGCUGAGGAACGAAAGCGUGGGUAGCGAACAGG
rnacentral:rRNA from 1 species